AACGCUAGCUACAGGCUUAACACAUGCAAGUCGAGGGGCAGCGGGGAUCUAGCUUGCUAGAUUUGCCGGCGACCGGCGCACGGGUGAGUAACACGUAUCCAACCUGGCCCAUACUCGGGUAUAGCCUCUCGAAAGGGAGAUUAAUCCCCGAUGUUGUCGUUGCACCGCAUGGUACAUCGACCAAAGAAAUUCGGUAUGGGAUGGGGAUGCGUUCCAUUAGCUUGUUGGCGGGGUAACGGCCCACCAAGGCUACGAUGGAUAGGGGUUCUGAGAGGAAGGUCCCCCACACUGGAACUGAGACACGGUCCAGACUCCUACGGGAGGCAGCAGUGAGGAAUAUUGGUCAAUGGACGAGAGUCUGAACCAGCCAAGUAGCGUGAAGGAAGACUGCCCUACGGGUUGUAAACUUCUUUUAUACGGGAAUAAAGUGCCUUACGUGUAGGGUUUUGUAUGUACCGUAUGAAUAAGCAUCGGCUAAUUCCGUGCCAGCAGCCGCGGUAAUACGGAAGAUGCGAGCGUUAUCCGGAUUUAUUGGGUUUAAAGGGAGCGUAGGCGGGUUUUUAAGCCAGCUGUGAAAGUUUGCGGCUCAACCGUAAAAUUGCAGUUGGAACUGGAGACCUUGAGUGUGCAUAAGGUGGAUGGAAUUCGUGGUGUAGCGGUGAAAUGCUUAGAUAUCACGAAGAACUCCGAUUGCGAAGGCAGCCUUCUGGGGUGCAACUGACACUGAUGCUCGAAAGUGUGGGUAUCGAACAGGAUUAGAUACCCUGGUAGUCCACACAGUAAACUAUGGAUACUCGCUGCCGGCGAUACACAGUCGGUGGCUUAGCGAAAGCGUUAAGUAUCCCACCUGGGGAGUACGCCGGCAACGGUGAAACUCAAAGGAAUUGACGGGGGCCCGCACAAGCGGAGGAACAUGUGGUUUAAUUCGAUGNUNCGCGAGGAACCUUACCCAGGCUCGAACGGCAAUCUGAAUGUUGGUAGAGAUACUUUCAGUCUUCGGACAGGUUGUCGAGGUGCUGCAUGGUUGUCGUCAGCUCGUGCCGUGAGGUGUCGGCUUAAGUGC
rnacentral:rRNA from 1 species